UGAAAAAUACAGAGCUAGAUAAUAUUAAAAUUGCAAAUGUGUGCUUAAUUAGCGGUUCCUAAAUAUAUUUUGGUUUAAUUACAUGAAAUCUAGCUUAGAUUUUGGUUUUGGUGGUUAAAUAAAAAAAUCAAAGUAGGUAGGACAUAGCUAGUUCGAAUGGGACACUUAAUAAAAUGUCUCCACAAAUCGGGAUACAUUUCUCU
rnacentral:lncRNA from 1 species